rnacentral:siRNA from 1 species
UUCACGAGCCACUCAAUGUA